CUCUGUGGGUCACAGCAACCGCCUAGUCAGUUUCAGUGAGAGAAUCUGGGUACCACAGCCGGAAAUGCAGAAUUCACGUUUGUCUUUGUGUAGCUGUUUCUACUCGGCCAUCUUGGCCCCUCCUCUGCCCUGCUUCCCUUUUAAAUAUAAGUUCCAGUUUCAGAUAAUUCCUUUGUUCACGCAUAUGAGCAUACACUGUUAGAAGCAGCCAAGCUACGUCUUGAAUGCUUUGCUGCUUAGAAAUUUCUUCUGCCAGAUACAAUCAUCUCUCUCAAGUUCAAAGUUUCACAGAUCUCUAGAGCAGGGGCAGAAUGCCACUAGUUUCUUUGCUAAAGAAUAGCUGGAGUGCAGUUCCCA